CGGACUGAUAGUCAGUGGGCCCCUUUAGUUCCGUGAUCGUUAGAGCUACAAAGCUGCAAUUUGUCAUGGAUAUCUAAAUUAAUUAAUCCAACAAAGUCGUACAAUAAAAUAAAAAUAAAAAUGUUUUUAGUGUACCUCCCCUACACGUAAAGUGGGGUGUAAUUUUAUUUUCGUUUCAACCCUACAGUGUGGGGUAUCGUUGGAUAGGUCUUUCAAAACGAAUAGGGGUCUUCAACAAACAUUUUUUUUCUAACAAGCCAACUUUAAUCUUUUAAGGUUUUGGUCGGAGUCUGCCCUUGCAAAUAUAGUCUUAGUUUUCGUGUAUUUAAACUAGCUUUUUCCCUUGAUUAAAAUGUGUACAAAUUCAAUAUUAAAACUACAUUCUUACGUUAGCCCAUCAUCUUUAGUUUUCAUUGAUCGUUUUUAACUUUAAAUGAUCUAUAUUUAUUUAUAUAUUUUUAUAAAUGCUAGUCGUUAUAAAGGCGUGGUUGUGAUGGUGUCUGCGUGAUGACGUGUUUGUUAUUGCCUUAUUGGAUAGUAUAUUUUACUAUGUUGGGCGUUGUUGUUAAUAUCAAUGUUUUGUUAUCAUAUAUAGCGAUUACGCCCACAGUACAUAAUUUUCUUAAAUUAAGUAAAAAUUACGUUGAUUAUCUAUAAAAUUUACUGAAUAUGUACUUCCGUGGGUUUCAAUUAUUUUUAAUGGGUUCCAUAAUUAUAAUUGUUGAUGUGUUUUUUUAUUUUGCUUUGUAUGUUUAUUUAUAUUAUGGAGAUCCAACAGAGCUAUCAAUACAAAGUAGCAGCAAUUCAUAAGAGAUGCAAAGUCAAUUACAGGAUCACACUUGUAGCUACAUAUUAUUACAUUAGUUUGCUUAAAUGAAAAGUGUCGACGCUCGGACACAGCAACACACAACAUAAAAGUUCAUACAGUACAUAUUAAAUAGAAUCCAAAAAUAAAUUUAAUAGUGGAAAAAUUACUGCCUUGGGUGAGACUUGAACUCACGGCCUCUGGAUCGAUACUCCAGCGCUCUGCCAACUGAGCCACCAAGACCUCAUCCAUAGCAGUAAUUUUUCUACUUUUAAAUUUAUUCUAAGCUUAAUAGCAUCGAUCGCAGACGUUUCUGCUUGUUAAAAAUUAAUUUAGAAUCCAGAAAUAUAACAUUUAAAACUUUCGCGUUUUGAACACAUAUUAAAUCACAUUUACAAUCGCGAUGCUAUCGCGAAUUUAUUUUGUUACCUUUAUUUACCGACGUUUCGACACAGAUUUCACUGGUCGUGGUCGCGGCUAAUUGUCGCGAUAGACCCGUUUGUAAAUGUGAUUUAAUAUGUGAAGAAUCCAGAAAUGACAAAAUUUACAUGAAAUGUUGACGUGUAAAAGUGCCCUUGUGGCCUAUUUCCUGAAUAAAUGUUGAAGUUUGAAUGAAAACAUAUUUUUUGUUUUUGACAACAUUGUUUAAAAUCUAAGCCAGACUAAUGUAUACAUAUGCUAUCCGUAUGAUAGCUUAUAAAUCUAAUUAUUGAAUUCUUAUUUAUAAUAAUAAUCAAAAGACCGGGAUUUAUAAGGCCCUUGAAAUCCAAAAUGGAGAUAUAUUAAUAAUCAUACGUAUGUAUGUAGUUUAGUGAUAAGGAUAUCCAAACUUGUAAGGUGAACACCAAUUAGUUUAAGAUUUUAUAGCCGGCCUUAUUUAAUAUAGAGGGAUAGCAUUCGAAAGUAGGACCUAAGAUAUACUAAAUAUGACAAAUUACACUUUUGAAUUUACGUAUAUUCUUAGCAAUUAACAUUUAUCCUUUAUUCUCUAGGAUUAUAUUUCGUGGUGCGGCGCGAUCCAAUUGUUUUGAGAUUAUUUAUUUAUUUGUCAGAAUUGAUUGUGUAAAAUGUCGCACGCAUCACCAUGGCCGAUGGACUGAGGUGUAUUAAUCGAUGUAAUAAUUUGUCUGUAAACAAAUAUGUACAGUUUAAAAACGUCAAACCUGUGCUUAUAUAAUACAACAAAUUCCGUUAUCGGAUAAGAACAAGUUCUUAAUGUUAUCGUGUAGGUAUGACCAACGGGUUUUACCUCUGCUUUUCUUAUCCUGAUUUUGUAAUUACUGAUAUGAUAUUAAAUUGAUCAUUGUCUAUAGGCUUUAAGGAACAUUCAUCGUCACCAGACUAAAUACGUCCCAGUGCUUGUCACAUGCCUUCUCUCAAUGUACAAUAAAUGUUGGUAUAAAGUACCCAUGUGUAUAAUGUGUCCAAAGCGGAUUUUGCACACCUUUGAAUGCCUUCAUAGAUGUAGGCAGGUUUCCUCGCUAGAUUUUCCAUUACCGAAAAGCAACAAGUAAAAUUUUUAUUAAAAUUAUUCAAUAUACAGUCAGAUGAAAAAAUAUCGGUAAACACACCUCAGUCAAAUCUAGAUUAAGUACCUAUUCAUAAGUUAAAUUAAUCGUUUUUGAGUUUAAACCUGCCAAAUAUACUGUAAGAACUACGUACGCAUCCUCAAAAGCGUAGAGCACUGUCUGGCAAUAUCUAUACAACUCAAUUUGAACCCUAACAGUACCAUUAUAUAUCUAUACAUGUUUUGAGGUGUUUCGUGCAAAACUUUGUUCACGGAACACUUAUGGGAUCACUUCGGUCUUGCAAAUCAGUUAAAUGCGUUUUUCGCAGAGACCGUUUAACGUAGUUUCAUAUUUACCACUAAUAAAGUCCGCCCUAGAGAAAACUAGCGAAACUUACAAAAUCGGCUUUAGGUAACCUUCUUGUAACAAUUGCUAUUUUGACAUAUGUUUAAAUAAGAAUAUUCCGUAUACAUUUGUUCGGCUGAUCGAAACUAUAUUAGAUCAGAUAUAACUAUUAAUUGGUAGCUGUGUUAAUUAAUGACAAAAUAAGAAAAAGGUUAAUUUAGCUCAGCAGCUACGGAUCAAUAUUGUUUAACCUUCCAUAUAUUGUUUUUUUUUGUAUUUAUUAAACGUGUAAGUACUGUGUCUAUUACUUCAGGCAAAUAUCUCAAUUAUUAGUUAUUUCUAGUACAUAAUUAUUAUGUAAAUAAAUAAUACCUACGUAGAUUUAAUCAUCAUAAAAUGAAAGCUUUAUUAGUGUAGGCCUUGUAGACGCAUUACAUAGUUGUUAAUGAAGUUAAAAGGUAUCAUAUUCUAUAGAUUAAGAUAUAAAUCAGUGCCUAGAAUAGUUUUUUCUUUCAGUUUAGUAUUUUUUUAAUAUUUAUUUUUGUAUUAUAUUUUUGGUUUUGUUGUGUAUUUAUCGUUGUAAGCUGUUUUGAAUCAUAUAAAUCAAUUAGAUUGAGUAUAAUAAAUCAUUAGGUGAGUAAUAGAUUCGUUGGUCUGAAAAGCUUUCCUGUUAUGAUUUAUGGUAUACCUACGUAGUAUGCACAUACCUAUAUAGGUAUGUUAUCAAUGUACUCGCCUUUAUUGUCAGUAAUGUCAGUAGAAUAUGCGUUGAUCAUUUUGAGCUCUUCGUCCCUGUAGUCAGUUCAGCUGCCGGCUGUAUUUCUACAAGUACAGACACGAUUCUUUAAACAUAGUACUGUCAGCAUCAUCGCGUCAAAAGUAUCUACCACCCAGACCACCCUCUAAUAAUUUUGUGUGUGUCUAGUAAUGAUGGUCAACUUUAAAUCGGAAUAGGCUCUUUCUGUAAUUAAGCUGAUAGAGAAUGAUGCGUACUGUAGUGACGUAUGGAGUCGAAAACAUCACUGACAAAAAUGUAGUGCCUAGAAACAUUUCGGUGCCUAUAUACCGCCUACCUACUUUUCUUAUGAUUAACUGUCAAUGGGAUCUACUCUUAUCAGAAUGUGUCUCGUAUGAGACCUCUAUUUAUUUAUUACUGUUUCGGCGGCCCUAAGACGUAACUGACGAAAAUAUAAUGUAGAACCCAGGUUUCUGUUAGAAGGAAGAAUAUUGUUGCGCUACAGUGGCUUUGUUAACUUCGUGUCAAUUAAGGCUUAUCUCGGAGUUCAAAAAAUCAAUGCCUCAAGUAGAACUGUUUUUUUUUUGGAAAAAGCUUAGUGGAGGAAACACGCCUAUAAGUAUCUGACCGUUGUAAAUACAAAUCGGCCUACAGCAUGUAUUUGUCCAUAAUUCGGUUUGAUUAAGUUAUUGUCAACGUUAAUUUAAAGCUUAUGGCGAUGUACCGUGUAUAUGGGGCAUUUUCUAUGAAAAGGGACCUUAUUGUCGAUGGCGCUUACGCAGCACAGCGUCGCGCGUCAUUGUAUUUAUAUAAGGUCCCUUUUUAUAGAAAAUACCACAUAUAUGUGACGUUAUCGACUUAAAGUUACCUCAUUGUCGGUUGUCGAUAAGGUUGAUUUCAAAUUUAAGCUAUGGAAAUAGCGUCUUAUUGACAACCGACAAUAAGACGCUUUGGUUGAAAAUGGCACAUAUGUGUCGUUUCCAAGCAAAAAGUCCCACUGUCGCUUGCCAUAAGGACACUUUGACAGGUUAUUCGUAUAGAUACAAGCAAAUCUCGUCCUUAUGGUAAGCGACAAAGUGGGACCUUUGACUAGACUCUGUCUUAUUAUAAUUCAAAUGUUUCCCGUGAAAGUUUUUUUUAUAAAGCCAGUUUUUAAUGUUUUUGAUACAUAAUUUUUUUAGUUAGGUAAUUUUACAAAAUGUUAAGUAAAUGUUAAGAUUGAUAUAUUGUCUUGCUCCGUUUGUACAAUGUAUGGAUUAUAAGAAUCCUUCCCACCACUCGUGUAAGCGUAAUUUAUUCUAAAUCAAUGCUUGCUUUACGUAUCGUUAAGAAUCUUUGUAUUAAUGACCAAAGCGUUAAUCUACAGCCAUAAUUUUGGAUUUAUGAGUUGUAUACCUACAGAUGUAUCUCUUUGUUUAUUCCCGGUAGUCAAAGACAUAAGUAAAUGAGUUUGAAACUUUUUGGUGGCGCCAUAUGCGCUUAAAUACAUGAAACCAUCCAUCCAUUGUAGUAACCUUCGGAAACAGGAUCUUUUUUUGGUGUGUCAUGAGUUAUGACCUGUAAAACGCAUCUACAUUUCUUCACGUGACAACCAAAACAAAACUCACUAAUUACCUACUAAUAAAACAAAACAAGGUGAUUAUUAUUUUGCAUUUAGUGAGUUAUGGUUGUCACCUGACGAUUUACAUCACAUUGUAGAUCAAAGACAUCGGCAGAUCAGAUUUAUCGGUAUAAGCUUUUAGCUAAUAUUACCCCAUCCAAAUAUCGUCGGAUGUUAACCAAAACAUAUCUGGUUAAGUAUAUCGGAAGAGGAUCAAUAAGGUUCUCGUUCAAUUUUAUUAAUCUUUAAUACAAUAAAGUGAAAGCAAAAUGGUUCAUCAUAAUCGCCAACCCUGACGCAAAACUGUCAUAUGCCACGGUUUUGCUAGCUCCGUUGCGGGGUUUGUUUAUCACAUAUUGAAAUUUGAAACACGAUUUUGCUUAAGCCGGAUUCACACUUGUCUGUCGUGUUAUGUUGUGUUUUGUCGUGACGCAUCAGAACGGCAAUCGGUUUCAUACAUUUAAUAUGGUUGCGUGCACAUUUCUCUGACGCACUGCUUUAAUCUUUAUGCCUCUUCUGCGAACAAUUCUUUGGUUUUGGUUAUCACCCGACGAAUUUGCCGGCGGAUACUUGGGUAAUUUGACAAAUGUCGUAACAGCUGAUGAAGAGCUGGGGGUCUAGCCAAGAUGACGAUAAUACAUCGACAAACGCCAAACGAAAGAAAAAAAUGUGUCAGGAUGACAGAUGCUAUGAAAAGUCACGUGACUAUUCCAUACAUUAUUUAAGAUUCCAUAGACGUUUUCUAUCAGUGAUUGUCGUCUUGUGUGUGUGCUAGGCCCCCAGGGUGCCUAGCCAAGAUGCCAAACGUUUACGUGUCGUAGCGAACGAUACGCUAAUGUCUCUCUGUCGUACUACAUAAUAUGGAAGAGUGAUAGAGAUUAGUUUCGCUUAGAUUCGAUUAUUAGAUCGCUACGGCGCAAACAAUUGGCAUCUUGGCUAGACCCUCUGAUCUAUUUACUCCGCCGAUGCCAAGUUAGUGAAGCAGGCUGUUGCCUAACCGUUACAUUCCAAUUGAAUUAAGUACCAAAGGACUUUAAUUUUGAGAUCUAUAUCUUACCUCAAUCGUGUCUUUCUUGUUGUGCAUAAAUUUAACAAAUACAUCAUUAUUUUAAUGUGA